rnacentral:rRNA from 1 species
UACGUAGGGGGCAAGCGUUGUCCGGAUUUAUUGGGCGUAAAGAGCGUGUAGGCGGCCUGACAAGUCUGCUGUGAAAACUUGAGGCUCAACCUCGAGAUGUCGGCGGAAACUGUCUGGCUAGAGUCCGGAAGAGGAGAGUGGAAUUCCUGGUGUAGCGGUGAAAUGCGCAGAUAUCAGGAAGAACACCUAUGGCGAAGGCAGCUCUCUGGGACGGUACUGACGCUGAGACGCGAAAGCGUGGGGAGCGAACAGG